UGCCUCUGAUGCAUCAUCCGCAAAUUAAGGUUCUUUUCCCCUCCUCCUUUUUCCUUUUUCCAUUAUCUUCCCGCCCUCUUUCUCUCUUGCGCGCGCUCUCGAAAUCCAACUACAYCGGCCCUCCACUACAUUCACUGUUAGUUGCAAUAACUUGAUURAGCGAUGGAAGAAACUUGUUAGUCCUCAAGGAUCUUGUGAAUUAGAUGUCUAGCCUGACCUCUUCAAUUUUAGCUCAGAUGCYAUUUUUGUUCUUCGUCUAUUACAUGCUUGUUCAUGGUACAUUUUACAUUGCUUUGAUCUUCAAUCUCUUUGAGUUUUGCUCCUUUUUUGAACUUUACUAUUUGUAUUUUUCUGUCCUCUGAAAACGGGGAAGCCACUUCUUCUGUAAAUAUGCAAGCGGUCGUCAGGCCAGCUGAAAAUGGAGAAACUGUUUCUUCUGUAAAUUUGGAGAAAUUCACGUAUUUGAUGCAAGAGAUGUCUGGCUUUCCCGGGAGGGAAAUCACGAAAGAGGGGUUGCGGUAUUUGGACGGGUCACUUCUGAGGCGUUUCAACGAAGAAUGGCGAUUGCAACAGAUUGUAGAAACUGAGGUUCAUGCUAAGCGGUUUAAGUUGAUUCAUGUUCACACUAGGCUGAUUUUGAAGGCCAUUCUCUCUUCGCCGCCUGAGUGAUGCAUAAGUUAAUGGAUUUGGGCAGGUUUUUUGGUAUAAUGUAUCUGUAUAUGCUUUACUAAUGUUUGCAUUGUAUAUGAAAAGAUACUCUUCUUCUUUUAGUUCUGCAGACCUGUUCAACUAGUUGUUACAGCUUUCUUUAGGUUUUCUUUCUUGCAUACAUUGAGUGAGUAAACUGGAUUCAAGCAAGUGAUUUUUUUUAAUGGCAAUUAUGGGUUUAAUUUGUUCAUCUAAUUCUGCACAUUUUCCAUUAUUCUGAGCCUCUUAUCUGAAUAAGCUUCAACACAUUUUGAGACCUAAUUUUUACAUUCUAUUUAUGGUUUUUAGUGCUUCAUUUAAACACAACUCUWAUUGCUAAUAUUUGGUCAUGGUAAUUUCUAAAGCCAAUGAAAUAGAUAUUCUUUGAAAUAACACCCAAACAAGAUUGAAACAAGAACAUGGAGUUCUUUGGUUUUAAAGUUUAAGCUGGGGAAGGGUUUGAUUCUGAGUGUUACGUUAUUGGCUUUCUGGAUACAGAGAGCUUGUAAUUGUAAUAGUAGAAUAUUCAAGUAAUAUGAACAACAAUGACUGUCAUACAUCUACCAAUUACUUAUCUGGUUAAUAUUUUAUUUUACACAUUAUGAGUUAUGGUAAGUUUAAGGGGUUAGCCCUUUGUUGGGCUGUCUCUAGGUUCAGAUGCAUGGAUUUGUUUCAGGUUUUUAGAUAGUUGAGAAUCAACCAUUGUCAUUUAAAGAAAAAAUGUCAUUAAUCAAUUUCCCCUGACUUUCAAAAAUGCUUCAACACAGAAGUGUUUGAAGAAAGCAGCACUAGGCUUGUGAGUAUGGCGAAGCCAGGUAGACUCACUAGAAAGAUGAAUUGCAGUAAAACAAAAAAAAAAAAAAAGAUAAAAAGAAAAAUGAAUUAUUGUUGGGAUUCCACUAUAUAUUAGGCCCUGGGAUUGAAGAGUCUGGGAGUCUGAGACUAUUUUAUGUUUUUCUAAUAAUAUUGUAGGUGUUGUAAAUUAAUUAAGUAUAGGUAAUUGCUGAAUUAAAUGAUAAAAAAGAUUCUUGCUGAGUUAAUUAGAUUUGUAGCUGCUAUUCUGUGAACAAUGGGGAAGAGAGAACUUCCUCAGUUAUAAUUAAGUUUUAUAUUUGAAUCACACACUGCUGAAGAGACGCUUCAUUCCUCUUUAAGAAUUGAAAAUUGUCUAGUUGGUUUUAUUGAGAAACAGAAAAGCUUUAUUCAGCUUUAAGAAUCAAAAUUUCCCUAGUUAGGUUUAUAAAGAAACAGAACCUUAUCGUUGAACUGUGUGAGCAUCUGCACUAGAGCAAAUUGACCUAUGAUCCAAUCAAGUCCUGGGGAACCAUUACUUGGGUCAGUACCUUGGGGAUCUGGGCCAACCAAAAGAAUGAAGAGCCAUGUGUAGAGAGACUGUGCAAAAGAGUAUUGACAAUCUGUUGUGUCGGAGUAGUCAUGGUGACAAUAGACCUCAUUCUUGGAAUCUACUAAAUAUUGCAGGGCAUUAGAAAUUAUAUCAUUCAAUUAAAUUAUAGCUUAAGGUAGGAAUCUAGUUUGUUAGUAUGUCAACCAUCUAUGUCAUCAAUGGGGACUGAAUAUAGGCCAAACUUGUGGAUAUCUACAUGAACAUGAGUUAAAUUAGUGAAUUUAGGCUUCAGUGUUUGUCCUUAUAUUUUACAGAAGUCAUUUCUUAUAUUAAAGAAGUUGGUUAGUUUGCAUUUUAUAAUUUCUCAUCAGUACUAUGAAGUUUUUCUACAAGGAAAUGAUGAAUUUUAAAAUGAUGUUGUUGCAGACACCAAAUUCACCCAUAGCAGCAGAGAGUUCUAGAGGUAGAAAAACCAGCAAACGGGUCAUACUAGUUUAUUAUGGUUCUACACAAAGCAAUGUGGAGGUACAAAACAUGUGACCUUUUUUAUUGGUAACAAUCAAAAAUUUGUUAGAUAAUGGAAAAAGAAUAGUAUACACAAAUGAUGUGCAAACACUGCAUUAGUUAUUGGCUUACCACCACUAGCCACCCAUCUUUCUAUAUUAGURCUUGAUAUUGAUAUUUGUAAGUAAAAUCCCAGGCCAUGAGGUAAGAAACUUCUAUUAUUGAAAUUCAUUGUGAGUGGUUUGAUGUGAGAAUUGAACUUCUUUGUCUUCUCUUCAAUUCCCUGUAGAAAUGAUUUGAAAUGCACUUUAGAAUUACUAAAAUGGUAACUUUUGGAUUUCUUUUUAUYUACCAACCUAGUAAGCUACCUAGCUAGCUUAAGUUAACAAGAGUGGGUUAGACAGAUCAAUGCCAUUAUCCAUGGUGAUCAUCAGCUCGUGGCAGGAAUGUGGCUUAUGUGGUUGAGCUUUGGUGGGUUUUUUUACAUUGUUUUUUCAUGGGGGAAAGAUGUCACAUCUUAUGAUUAGGAGCUGAUAGAGAGGUUGGUGGGUUUUGGAGCUUUUAAGUGUUUGUUUGACAAGUCUCAUUGUUUGUUGAAUGAAUAGUCAAGACUCAAGUUGAAGCUCAUGGUUUCAUGAAGGGCUGCAUGGAAGUAACCUUAAUAUAUAAUGCAUUCUACAAAGUGGAAGAAUGCUCAUGCACAGUGUCUGUUUGGAUGUGACAGAUUAAUGAAUCCCUGAAUUCCGUUGGCAUUGGAAUCUGCAUGUUUACUUUCCCUAUUUGGUGCGGAAUUGCAAUUUCCUUUCUUCCCAAACCCACAUGGGCAUCACAGAGAAAGAAUGAAAAGGAUUAGAGAAGCAAUUUCURUUCUCAGUCCUGCUAGCUAGGUUCCGAGCUAGUUCCCAUAAUUAUGCAACCCAAGCAGGACAAGCCGACUGAACCCAUAAAACCAGAAAUCUAACCCAGCCUCUACAGGCAAUGAAAUGAAAUCUAUCCAUACAUAGAAUAGUAGAGGGGAUGCAAGCGAGGGAGGACCAUGUGAAUAGAAGAUGGCACUGAAAUGAAAUCGUUUACUCCAGCUACACAAUCACUACUUCCAGGUUCUAUAAUUUUCACUGGCUACUUUCCUAAGUAGAUUGCUUACCCAGCACAAUUCAUGCCUUUUCUGAGUAGAUUGCUUCACUUGCCAUGGYUCAUUUCCUUUUGUGAUUAACACCGUUCAUCCUAUUUUUCUGUUGACUGUAUAUUGAAAUGAUGCAAGUUUUCCCUUUGCUUAUGCAAGUUCUCUUCCAAAGAGCGGGCGUCACUUGUUUGGCAGUUCAUAUGCAGCGUUCCUAGUGUUUUUUGGAGGAUUUUCUACCAACGAGGAGCCAAUCUAGACUCUUAUUGAAAAGGUACAAAAAUUUGGCUUUUUCAAAAAAGUCAUAACGAGCUUAUUUUCUGGAAUAAGCACUUGUUCGGGUUUUUUUUCUUUUUUUCUAAACACACACAUAAGUGUUUAGAGUAAGAAUGAGGGAUUUGAUCUGAAAGCAAACACUUUUUUUUUUUUGUGCAAAGUGUUGAAUUCUUUUUGACAAUCAAGUAUGUGUCAAUCUGGCUGUGUAUCUGCAAAACCAGGGAUAAACUCCUUUUUCAACUAUUACUCCUUCAAAUAUUUCAUUAAUGAACUAUUUGUGCAGAGCACAGAGCAGAGGAUAGAAAGAUGAAAAAAUCAAAGUAAUGCAGACACUUUAAUUUUCUUGUAGAAUACACCUUUGUUUUUCAUCUGCCUCAUACAAUUCUUAAACAAAUAAUGAGAGUAACAGUAUAGAACUAUCAGAGACAGACUAUACAACUGAGCCUGAUAUCAGGUGAACAUAUCCAUCUAGAGGUUCCCUGCGUCUACAACAGCAGACACAGAACCAUGCAACCAGCAAAGAACAGCAUAGAGACCAUCUGCACAUCUGAUCUCUCUGUGAGUUGAAAAAUAAGAUCAAUCAUCUUGGUUGAACCUUCUGUAUCAGAGUUGCCAGUGUCGAACAAUACUCCAUCAUACUGUGGAAACCAAAUAGUUUGCAAAAGCAGGGUAGAAGAAGUCCUCCACGCCAUGAACGAUCACAUGCCCAUCAUUAUACAGGUCUCAGUGAGGGAUUUUGACGCCAUUGAUGGAAGCUCCUCCACGUACCGAAGUGAUAAUGAGGAGAUGCCCAGAAAGGAGGGUUUCGACCUUAGACCAAUGGAGCACCGAUGAAUCCAAAACCUCUAACUUACCCAGUGCAACGUGGUAUCGCAGAAGGGUCAAGGGGGGUCCUGCAUAUUUGAAGUCGGGAGACAUGAAAGCCUUGUCGGACGGGCAGAAUGUGGUGACUGUUAUACCUGUUCGUGAGCCGGGUAGCCCAAGGGCAUGCAUUUUAGCCCACGGGUUUGACAUCGGGCCUAAAAGCCCAAGCCCAACUAUUUUACAGGUCGGGCUCGGGAUUUGUUAAAAAAGUCUAAUCCGACUUUUGUAUAAGUUAAACCCUAAAUAUGCUAAUCGGAUAACCCCUCUCUUCUGACUCAUCUCUUUCUCUUAGCCAAACGAACUCACUUUUUACGGUCACAGCCAAACACUCUCAAGAAGAUAGAACCAAUGAACACUCUCACCAGUGCAACCAGUGAACUCCAACGGUGACUGCUCAUUUAUCAGACACAAACUCAGGCACUGGCGGAAACAGGCACCGGUGGUUGAAUGGAAGGAGAAACUUUAGAUUCUUAGAUGGAGACAUAUUGGAUUAGAUUUUCAAAUGUUAAUUGUAGUUUAAUCUCUUCGAGCAAUUUGAAUUUAUAAUGUAGAACCUAUGGAUGUGUGCAAAUUGUA